GACGAACGCUGGCGGCGUGCCUAAUACAUGCAAGUCGAACGAGAGCGACCGGUGCUUGCACUGGUCAAUCUAGUGGCGAACGGGUGAGUAACACGUGGGUAACCUGCCCAUCAGAGGGGGAUAACAUCCGGAAACGGAUGCUAAAACCGCAUAGGUCUUCGAGCCGCAUGGCUUGAAGAGGAAAAGAGGCGCAAGCUUCUGCUGAUGGAUGGACCCGCGGUGCAUUAGCUAGUUGGUGAGGUAACGGCUCACCAAGGCCGUGAUGCAUAGCCGACCUGAGAGGGUGAUCGGCCACAUUGGGACUGAGACACGGCCCAAACUCCUACGGGAGGCAGCGGUAGGGAAUCUUCCGCAAUGGACGCAAGUCUGACGGAGCAACGCCGCGUGAGUGAAGAAGGUUUUCGGAUCGUAAAACUCUGUUGUUAGAGAAGAACAAGUGCUAGAGUAACUGUUAGCGCCUUGACGGUAUCUAACCAGAAAGCCACGGCUAACUACGUG
rnacentral:rRNA from 1 species